UAUGACUGAAAUAGAUAAAGGACAAGCACGAGAAACAGUGGUUCAAAAGGACAACAAGCAGUGGUACAAUAGAACAUAUGGUGCAGAUUGUACUAAUUACAGUACUUGAGCUUGGCCAGCAGCACCUCCUGUAGUAGCAUCCUGUCCAGGGUCACCAAGACAUUGUUAUGUUGUUUGGUUCUCCAGACAUCUUACUGCCUUUUUGAACUGUUUUCUGCCUUUGCAUUCUUCCAAGCUUUUGGAAAUAUCCGAGUGGUGUUUAGUCAUGGAAAUAGAGCUUCUGCUUGUUUGUAAAACAAAUACAGGAAUUAAAUCCAUCCCAAACU